rnacentral:rRNA from 1 species
UGGGAAUAUUGGACAAUGGGCGCAAGCCUGAUCCAGCCAUGCCGCGUGAGUGAUGAAGGCCCUAGGGUUGUAAAGCUCUUUCGCCAGGGACGGAUAAUANACGGUACCUGGAUAAGAAGCCCCGGCUAACUUCGUGCCAGCAGCCGCGGUAAUACGAAGGGGGCUAGCGUUGUUCGGAAUCACUGGGCGUAAAGCGCACGUAGGCGGAUCUUUAAGUCAGGGGUGAAAUCCCGAGGCUCAACCUCGGAACUGCCUUUGAUACUGGAGGUCUCGAGUCCGGGAGAGGUGAGUGGAACUGCGAGUGNAGAGGUGAAAUUCGUAGAUAUUCGCAAGAACACCAGUGGCGAAGGCGGUCACUGGCCCGGUACUGACGCUGAGGUGCGAAAGCGUGGGGAGCAAAACAGGAUUAGAUACCCUGGUAGUCCACGCCGUAAAACUAUGGAUGCUAGCCGUUGGGCAGCUUGCUGUUCAGUGGCGCAGCUAAACGCUUUAAGCAUCCCGCCUGGGGGAGUACGGUCGCAAAGAUUAAAAACUCAAAAUGAAAUUGACGGGGGUCAUAGCUGUUU